rnacentral:rRNA from 1 species
UACGUAGGCAGCAAGCGUUGUUCGGAGUUACUGGGCGUAAAGAGUGCGUAGGUGGUGCCCUAAGUCUGUUGUGAAAUCUCCCGGCUUAACUGGGAGGGUGCGGUGGAAACUGGGGUGCUUGAGUGUGGGAGAGGUAAGCGGAAUUCCUGGUGUAGCGGUGAAAUGCGUAGAUAUCUGGAGGAACACCGGUGGCGAAGGCGGCGUUCUGGACUGCAACUGACACUGAGGAACGAAAGCCAGGGGAGCAAACGGG